rnacentral:rRNA from 1 species
CCUACGGGUGGCAGCAGUGAGGAAUAUUGGUCAAUGGACGAAAGUCUGAACCAGCCACGCCGCGUGCAGGAUGACGGCCCUAUGAGUUGUAAACUGCUUUUGUACGAGGGUAAACGCAGAUACGUGUAUCUGUUUGUAUGUACCGUAUGAAUAAGGAUCGGCUAACUCCGUGCCAGCAGCCGCGGUAAUACGGAGGAUUCAAGCGUUAUCCGGAUUUAUUGGGUUUAAAGGGAGCGUAGGGGGUUGGUUAAGUCAGAGGUGAAAUCUCGAGGCUCAACUGUGGAAUUGCAGUUGAUACUGGUCGGCUUGAGUACAGUAGCGGUAAGCGGAAUGCGUGGUGUAGCGGUGAAAUGCUCAGAGAUCAUGAAGAACACCGAUUGCGAAGGCAGCUUAC